GUACUAACAUUUUAUAGGUUACAAGAACCCACAAAAAAAGCAUUCAGAGACAUACAAAGGGUAUAUGAAGACAUAGACUAUGAAAAUGCAAGGGAAGCUGAAGCGCAACCCUCCAUCCGAGAUUUACGCUCGAGAGGUAUUCAUAGUCUAGCUAAAGGUGCACAAGAGAAUAAGAAUAUGAACGAGCGUGCACAUGCUCCUAAGAGCCAGCGACAGCCCGAAUCAACUUCAAUAAUGAUCCUUCCGCAGGUUCACCUACGGAAA
rnacentral:misc_RNA from 1 species